rnacentral:rRNA from 1 species
GACGAACGCUGGCGGCGUGCUUAACACAUGCAAGUCGAACGGGAUAAUUUGAGAGCUUGCUCUUAGAGAAUCUAGUGGCAAACGGGUGAGUAACACGUAGACAACCUGCCGACAGGAUGGGGACAACAUUCCGAAAGGAAUGCUAAUACCGAAUGAAGCGGAGGAGAGGCAUCUCUCCUCCGUGAAAGAUGGCCUCUGAAUAUGCUAUCACCUGUCGAUGGGUCUGCGUCUGAUUAGCUAGUUGGUGAGGUAACGGCUCACCAAGGCGACGAUCAGUAGCCGGUCUGAGAGGAUGGACGGCCACAUUGGGACUGAGACACGGCCCAGACUCCUACGGGAGGCAGCAGUGGGGAAUCUUCCGCAAUGGGCGCAAGCCUGACGGAGCAACGCCGCGUGAGUGAAGAAGGUCUUCGGAUCGUAAAGCUCUGUUGACGGGGACGAACGUGCGAAGGGUGAAUAAUCCUUUGUAAUGACGGUACCUGGCGAGGAAGCCACGGCUAACUACGUG